rnacentral:rRNA from 1 species
CCUACGGGAGGCAGCAGUGGGGAAUAUUGCACAAUGGGGGAAACCCUGAUGCAGCGACGCCGCGUGAGUGAAGAAGUAUUUCGGUACGUAAAGCUCUAUCAGCAGGGAAGAAAAAAAGUCCUUUGGACUUUGGACGGUACCUGACUAAGAAGCCCCGGCUAACUACGUGCCAGCAGCCGCGGUAAUACGUAGGGUGCAAGCGUUAUCCGGAUUUACUGGGUGUAAAGGGUGCGUAGACGGCAGCGCAAGUCUGGAGUGAAAUGCCGGGGCCCAACCCCGGAACUGCUUUGGAAACUGUGCAACUGGAGUGCAGGAGAGGUAAGCGGAAUUCCUAGUGUAGCGGUGAAAUGCGUAGAGAUUAGGAGGAACACCAGUGGCGAAGGCGGCUUACUGGACUGUAACUGACGUUGAGGCUCGAAAGCGUGGGGAGCAAACAGGAUUAGAUACCCCAGUAGUC